GUCUAACGGACUCUCAACACACACACACACACACACACACACACACACACACACAGUCUAACGGACUCUCAACACACACACCGGAUCCUCGCCGCCUCCCUCGGCCCCAGGUGUCCCCCUGACCCGGUCUUUGCCGUCUUUUGUCCGUUAAGUACCAGUUUACAAUAUUGAUGAGGCCUGGAGGUUCCGGGGCGGCAGCAGGACACGCGGUCCGGGGGCCUCCUCACACGGUAAAUGUGCUAGAGUGGCUUGUGUAUUUAAAGCCCCGCAUACCUGUCGGGGGUCGUGACUUGUGUGCUCGUGUGUGAUGUCGACCUUUGCAGUUCAUGAGUAGCAGGGCGCCGACACAUUUUCGUCUCCGUACACUGAAUUAGAAAUAAAGGGACGACUCUGAGGUUGUAGUGCCGAGGUUUUGCUCUACUUAUUUCACUUGAUUACAAGAAUAAUGGUCCUAUUUUUACUUAGUCCCCAUAAUUAUAGGCGUUUAAAACAUAUGUGACCAAUUUUAAGGUCAAAUUAAAUUAUUCCGUGUAUGGGUUCUUGCUUUCUGUCCCUAUAAGGAAGAAUAGAGUCCUCAACAUAUGUUAUACCUGGACACACACACACACACACACACACACACACACACACACACACACACACAUAUGCAUAUAUGAACAUUUCAAAUCAGUUUGAGAUGAGCCUCAGUGGCUCUGCGACACUUUCAGAACUGGUUUUAAGAUCUUAUUGUCGCUGGGCUCACUUGUGGUUUUAAGACACAGAGCUCCCGGUUCAACAGAGCAUCACCUCACCUGCUCAAACAAAAAAAAAGAUUGUGUUUUAGUGAGAUGUCUGCCUCCACUCCCAAGUGGGCCAAUGUGUCUUUAGUGGUGCUGAUACCAUAAGAGAACAUCUGCAGGCCAAACCAGAUCCAGAGACACCUGAGGCAAAUAAGAUACCUUCAGGGUCAAGUAUGAAGAUGUGGACUUUGGAUUAACUGGGGCAAUAAUGAGCUAACUCUUUUUAACCACUUACAAAAACGACAUUGGAAGUUAAAGAACAGAUACAAACCACGAGAAGUGUUAUGGCCUUUCACUUUACCUCUCGCGUUUCCGUUAAAGAUGAAUCGACAACAGGGGAAGUGGGAGUCUGUGAUGCAGCUCAUCGGAUGUUGAGAUCACGACCUGAGGGUUUUUUCCCGUGGACCACUGAUCCUCUCUCUCUCUCUCUCUCUCUCUCUCUCUCUCUCUCUCUCUCUCUCUCUCUCUCUUGUUUGGUGUGGUCUCAGUUCAAAUUCAUCCAGGAUCCCGAGAUCAGACGAAUGAAGCAGCGCCGCAGCCUCUCAGCUGUCAUACAGCACAAGACCGUUAUAGCCUGAGGGUCAAAACACACAAUUCAUGAACGCCCGCGGAGCAAAAGACGCCAGAUUAAAGGCUCCGCAUCAAAUGGAGAAUCUGCCCUAUUGAAUAUCGACAUAUUUUUUGUUGUUGUUUUUUUUCUUAUUAUCAGAAAGAAAUGACUAAGAUUUAGUCCCGGGGGUCUUUCUCGGAGAUUGGAAUUCAUCCCACUGUCAGCUGAACGACCAGAAAACAACCACAACCUCUAAAAAAUGGAGAUCACCUUGUGGAAUGUGGAAUUCCUCUUUCGACAAAUGGUUUUGAAAGUGUGUUUAAGUUUUGGCUCAGGUGUUGCCCCCCCCAUUCCCUCCGAUUGUACUUCUAGUAAUCUGAAAUGCAGUUGCAACGGUGAGUGACUGACAACAUUUUCCACAUCACAUGUGAGAGUGUGUGUGGGGGGGACAUAUGGGGACGGAUAUUUUUUAUGACAGAUCAAGUGUGAAAUUGAAAUGUUUUUUCGUUCCGUUCCGGGGGUGUGUGUGUGUGUGUGUGUGUGUGUGUGUGUGUGUGUGUGUGUGUGUGUGUGUGUGUGUGUGUGUGUGUGUGUGUGUGUGUGUGUGUGUGUGUGUGUGUGUGUGUGUGUGUGUGUGUGUGUGUGUGUGUGUGUGUGUGUGUGUGUCGCUGACCUUGUCUUGAUGUGCGGCCGCUGCCAACAGCCUUGUCAAAAUUCAGAUAUGUAUUUAAACCUGUGCAUAUUCUAAUGACACGUGAAGGAAAGGGAGGGAGGACGCUGUGGCCUUCAAGUGUCGGGAGACAAAAUGUCUGUUUCGACUUUUAGUAUUUUUCGUGUUGAACCUGAAGGAAAGUGUCUAAUCUUUGGAUUAUUACUAAUUCUAAAUUUAUUACUAUUCACUUUCAUUUAUCCGCUUCAUAUGGGAUAUUAUUAUAUAUUCCUUAUUGUGAUCUUGUUUAUUUAUUUUUUAUUUAACCAUUUUAUACUCGUAUACGAUGCUCUUUGAUAUAAAUAUUUCCUCUACGUCCUACAAAGGGCUUUAAUGGGUUUCUCAUUUUAAUUAUAACUCCUUUUUUCACUUUGUGCUUGAACUUGAAAAAGGCUUUAUAAAUAAAAUAUAUGAUUAUUAUCAUUAGGUAACACAUUAGGUGCUUUAAAUGAAUGGAGAGGCAGGUUUAUUUACUUCUUUGUCGUCCCGAUGCAUCUGACCACACAUUAUCUCCAGCGGACGGACGGUUUGACUCUUUCCAACCCGGUCGUUCAUAAACUAUUCACAAUGUGACUCUGGCCUGUGAAGUCACUUCCCAGCCGCCGACCCCGUGACCCUUUGUGCCGCCUCUCAGCUCGCAUGAUGUCAGUUGCCCACUGGCGUCGUUGCCAUGAAGGAGUUUUUCGGAUGUCGUCAUGGCCGAGGGGAAGUUUCUCCAACGGACAGGCGAGUAUGAAUAUUUUAAAAGGAAUUUUUUUUUUCUUCUUUCUGUUUUGUCAUUUCAAAUGUAUUUUAAUGAUCAAAUCAUUUGGACAGAUUUCUUUUCUCUCUCUUUGUUUUGAUCAUCAUCAGCAGAUUUCGGGUUCAACAAAUGACAUCCGACCUCGUCCUGCUGUUAUUUAAGAACAGUGAUCAGUCAGAUGAGUCACGAUGCAGGAGGAAGCUCAGGAGUCAUCGCAGACUGACAGAACAUCUGUGACGAUCGCAGGACGUCACCCCGUCAACUGGAUGUGCUGCAGUUCUCUCAAAGAUGCACACGUUGGUGCUCGGACAGGGAUCCAGGUUGUUUUAAGGUUCGAGUCUCAAGCUGUCCAGUCCUCUGAACGCCUCCCUGCCUCCGUCCGUCUGAACAGCUGCAGCGCCGACGGAUGUGGAAAAAUGGGACGAGGGGGUUGAGUGACUUUGCCUCGUUCGCUCGCCGCCGACACACUCUGGAUCUCGCCGCUUUACACUUUUCCGUCCAACGCCCCGGCUGCCAGCUCGGGGUGCAUCACGCAUCUCGCACAUCGAGAGGCUGCGGCCGCUCCUCUGAGUGCCACAACGUGUUCGCUCCCCCUACCUGCAAAUGGCCUCCACCCCAACACACACACACACACACACACACACACACACACGCACGCACGCACGCACGCACGCACGCACGCACGCACGCACGCACGCACGCACGCACAUACACACACACACACACACAUUCCUGAUGCAACCCUGGCUGGACCAUCAGAAGUGCUCUGUGUGUGUGUGUGUGUGUGUUUGUGUUUGUGUGUGUGUGUGUGUAGUCAUCAUGUGUAUUUCAGGACGUGACAACACACCUGCUGACGCCAUGAGCUGGAUGAGGGAAGAAAGAGAGAGAGAGAGAGAGAGAAAAAACGUUACCUCACUGCAAAAAUAUGUAAAAAUGUUACGUCUCAUCAAUAUUUCACUCGUCCGUGUCUCGUCGUUGAAAUCUCAGAGGAGGCGCCGGGCGUUUCUCACAAUAUCCCAAAGUGAAAACUGUCCUCACAGCCCCGUGCAUCAUCUCCCGUAGUUUCACAUCUGUCCCUCUGCUCACACAUCUGUCCAUCAAUGUCUAUGAGACUAUUUUUCUUCUAUUACAGAUUAAAAACUGCCGUGGUCGACACGACGGCUGCUUGGAUCGACGUGAAGAAGGCGAAAGCCCGAGAUGGACGCCGUUCAGACCUGAAAACAAAUGACAUCAUCCUGCCGGGUGUCAGAAACCACUGCGUCGUUCCAGUAGGCAAGUACAAACGUUCGAUUUUUGUUGUUUAAAGGGGCAGUAAGCGAUUUUAAUCCAAAAGACUAUUUUGUAAAACUCAGCGAAUAUGUCCUCGCGUGACGAUGGAUGCUGGUCAUGUGUGUGGGACAACUUUUUGGGGGUUUUGCCGCCAAAAAAAUGGUGCGGACCGCACCACACAACAGUGUGUGUGCAGGGGUCCUGGCCUCGUGGUUACUAUCGCGCCUGCCUCCCGUACGCCGAGGCUGCGGGCUCGAGCCCCGACGUAGGCCGCCAGAAAAGCAACAACGAAAUAAAUCUACCCCCAAAAUGACUGACUGCCCCUUUAAGUUCAUGAAACUUGUGGAUCGCACACUGUAGGUUUGUUAAGAAUCGCCAAGGAGUCGAUGUCAUGUCACCGUUGUUGUAGUUUUGAUUCUGUCAUUUUUAAAGUGUGAAAAGCUUCGGGGUUCCUGAGAGGUCACAGAAGGUCGGCUGCGGCUCCAGCCAAGAGGACGGCCGAUGUUACAAUAGUGAUGGUAAUGAACGGGGGCAACGUUAAAGCAGAGACGGUGGCCUCGCGGACCGCAGCCUCACGCCGUCCCGCCGACCCUAAUUAAACUCCAUUAACCCUCAUGCCACCGCUCUCACCUCCGUCCCUCUCCCGCUCCUCCCGCCGUCCGCCGCCCGCCGCCGCUUUCGCUGAAAACCGGCCGGCGGUGUCUUGCGGAGAUGUGCCGCGAAUGUCGAAUGUGCAGCCGCGCCGGGUCUCCCUUUGUCCCGGUUUCUAAUUAACCGGUGUCCGAUGUGGAGGUGAGGACGAGGAGAAUGUUCAAUUCUGAGUGAAAAAAGGGGGAGAUGAGCAGGAAGGAGGAGGUGUGAAAAAAGGAGAAGAAGAGGUGAGCGAGGAAGCCAGGCGUAGAUGGAGAGAGAGAGAGGGAGAGAGAGAGAGGGGCGAGCAGGGGUCGUCCUCCCUGCUAAUUUGCUGACAUGGGGGCGUCGGGGAGGGCUGGCCUCCUAAUAAGAUUGUUUCUUGAAGGAGCAGCGCGAGCCGCGAAGGGAACAAAAGUAACUGUGCCCCACGAAUCCUGUAGCCAAUUAGUCCGUAUCAAUAAUUAAAAGGCAUUGUCUGCGCAGGGGCAGGGGCAGCAGAUUGAGUUUCCCUCCACCAGGCGAGAUUGUUAUGACAAGCAGUGCCUACAUAAUGAUAUUAGCCAUUAAUAAUUCACCGGCGGGCCCAGCGUUAGCUGCAGGUGACGGGAGGCCUUCUGCGCCGCGCUCCGGCAGCCAUCAGUCAGACAGCUCGCCAAUUAUCAGAGGUCGGGCAUCAGAAAGGGAAAUUGAAAAAUUGCUCCGGUCGACCAGGUGUGUGUGUGUGUGUGUGUUUUGACCGCGUGCGUGGAAUGCGAAGUGUGAUGAUGCGGGUAACAGUCAGAGACGAUCAGUCCGGAGCUUCAGAUCUUCUCACUGAACAUCAUCGUUCACAGUUCUCUUCCUGUUUACGACCAAUCGCCCGCGACGCACGUGCUCAUGCGCUGUCGAAGUCGUGGCUCAUUUUCGUUUUUCACAUGAUCGAAUGUUACGGUGUAUGGCGAAUAACGCGACGACAUGAAGUUCGUGUCACGGCGUGUUUUGGCGAAAGCCAAUUCGUGUUGAGAGUCUUCUUUCGUCUCUGUCUUCGUCCUGAAGUAUCGGAAUUUCUAAUCUUCACAUCCACACACACAUUUAAACGUUGCUUUUUCUAUCACGCAACAGGAGCCGGGGAUCGAACCUUCAACCUUCUGGUGCGACCUCUCUGCGCACUAAGCCGCGGUCGCCCAUGACGAUUGAGGAUGAUGAUGAUGGCCUUGCACUGGGCCCACGGAGUGGUCGCCGCCUGCUGAUCGGGUCUGUCUGCUGCGGGCCCCAUGGGCGAGCUGCACGUCCAGGCCCCCCCGUCACUGCGUCAGACACUCGGAUGACGGGGUCCCGGAGGUCCCCCUGGUGAAGCUCCACAUCUGGACCCUUCCUAAACAACGCAGGGAUUCAUACGCAGAGAUUCAUACGCAGUGACGAUAGGAAGACGGCUGAAAGGAAAGAAGGCCAGAGCAACGGAUUAUGCAAAAAAAAACAACUGCAGGACACAUUUCCACGGCACUCGGUGGAAUGACGGGACGUGGGCCGAGAAAGAAGUCGUCAACGUUUGUCAAACAUUGUCAGACGUUUGUGUUUUAGUAUAAUUCAUAGAUCUCGAUGGACGAGCCUGUGGAAUUGGUGCACAUUCAAAUAAAAAUCAGGAUCUAGUGGAUUUAAAUGUGGGGUUUUGCUGUGUGUUGCUGAGAUCAUGUGGACUCAGUAGGAAUCAACAGUUUACGUGUGUUUGACAGUUUUAUUAUUGUGUAUAAUAAACUGUGUU